rnacentral:rRNA from 1 species
UACGGAGGGUGCAAGCGUUAUCCGGAUUCACUGGGUUUAAAGGGUGCGUAGGCGGGUUGGUAAGUCCGUGGUGAAAUCUCCGAGCUUAACUCGGAAACUGCCGUGGAUACUAUCAAUCUUGAAUAUCGUGGAGGUAAGCGGAAUAUGUCAUGUAGCGGUGAAAUGCUUAGAUAUGACAUAGAACACCAAUUGCGUAGGCAGCUUACUACACGAUCAUUGACGCUGAGGCACGAAAAGCGUGGGGAGCAAACAGG